AACGAACGCUGGCGGCAGGCUUAACACAUGCAAGUCGAACGCAUCGCAAGAUGAGUGGCAGACGGGUGAGUAACGCGUGGGAACAUACCCUUUUCUACGGAAUAGCUCUGGGAAACUGGAAUUAAUACCGUAUACGCCCUACGGGGGAAAGAUUUAUCGGGGAAGGAUUGGCCCGCGUUGGAUUAGCUAGUUGGUGGGGUAAAGGCCUACCAAGGCGACGAUCCAUAGCUGGUCUGAGAGGAUGAUCAGCCACAUUGGGACUGAGACACGGCCCAAACUCCUACGGGAGGCAGCAGUGGGGAAUAUUGGACAAUGGGCGCAAGCCUGAUCCAGCCAUGCCGCGUGAGUGAUGAAGGCCCUAGGGUUGUAAAGCUCUUUCACCGGUGAAGAUAAUGACGGUAACCGGAGAAGAAGCCCCGGCUAACUUCGUGCCAGCCGCCGCCGUAAGAC
rnacentral:rRNA from 1 species